rnacentral:misc_RNA from 1 species
CCGAGUUUACAACCCCCAAACCCCUGUGAACAUACCACUUGUUGCCUCGGCGGAUCAGCCCGCUCCCGGUAAAACGGGACGGCCCGCCAGAGGACCCCUAAACUCUGUUUCUAUAUGUAACUUCUGAGUAAACCAUAAAUAAAUCA